UCGUAGGUACCAAACGUCAGAUUUGA
rnacentral:sRNA from 1 species